rnacentral:lncRNA from 1 species
UUCUAUGUUGGGGUUGAGAGCCGAAACCAUUUAAAUCAACUCGAUACAAGCGGCCAAAGUUGGAGACCACAUGAAGACCCAUGUGACCACACAGCUUUAACAGCCAUGCGGUCGCAUACUGGCAACCCGAGAACAGCUGGGAAAAUUUUGUGAGAUCCAUGCGAUCACACAAUAUUCUACUUUGCGGUUGCAUAGACCAAUUUUGGGACAAAAAAAAUUUCCUUUUUCGCGAAUUUCCUUAUUUUGUUAGAAUUCUAGUUUUGGUAAAAUUCUUGUAAUCUUUAAUUAUUGUUUUUCCAUUCUUACUAGAUUUAGGGC